CAGUAGCCGCGGGAAUACAGAGGAUGCAAGCGUUAUCUGGGAUGAUUGGGCGUAAAGCGACUGUAGGUGGCUUUUCAAGUCUGCAGUCAAAUCCCCGGGCUCAACCUGGGAACUGCAUUUGUGACUGGCAAGCUAGAGUAUGGCAGAGGGGGGUGGAAUUCCGCGUGUAGCAGUGAAAUGCGUAGAUAUGCGGAGGAACACCGAUGGCGAAGGCAGCCCCCUGGGCCAAUACUGACGCUCAUGCACGAAAGCGUGGGGAGCAAACAGGAUUAGAUACCCCGGUAGUCCCUGUCUCUUAUAC
rnacentral:rRNA from 1 species